rnacentral:lncRNA from 1 species
GGAAAGGUCUAGAUCUCUUCCCAGGAGCAAAGCACAGCUUAGAAGACAGCCUUCCUCAAAAUGCACACUCCGCAAAGGCAGAAGAUACUUCUAUGCCCCUAUAAACCAUGCUUUCAAGGCCACUCUGAAUGUGCCAUGUCUGCCCCUCUUCUGGGGCUCUAGCAGACCUCAGAGGAAUGGAAUUAGCCCCCACUUGGCAGGUAAACCUUUGCUUCCUGGUUUUGUCCCACUCCAACUGCAGGAAUGCCUCUGUUUCUUCAUGUCUACACAGAAGGAUUUAACAAACAGCGACUUUCAAAUUCUGGAUGUGGAUUAAGCUUGUGAGAAACAUCCCAUUUGUUGUAUCAGAACUACUAAGGAUGGCUCCAAGAAACGUGAUGUUGAAGGGAACACCUAAAUAUUUCUUCAAGCUUGUAGGCGGGGAACUGGACUAUUCUUGGGCUCUCUUGAGCAUAUAGAAUUGCACCUGUUUUAAGUUUCCGGGUAAUAAAAACAUUUAUCACCUGAGCGUUCAGUGCUUACUUUUCUCUUAGAAACGAUUGAAAGGAAACUCAGCCAGCCACUCUGAACUCUGGGACGUCCUGGUGUCCUGCCCUGGAUUUCCCAUAGAGUCCCUGUACAUGAUUCCUCAUUUCUCUCUGGGACAAGCUUCUGGCCCCUUCGGAAGCCUUGUUCAUUCUCUUGGGUCUUAUGGCCGUUUCUUCAUUUUGA